CCGAGAGCGUGGCUGCUGCGAAAGCGAGCGCGUUACGCUCCCAAACGGCGGUAUCGGCCACCCAAGACCCUGGCAUAGGGGGCGAGGGGGUGAACCUUCGCCGCCGCAGACUGGAUUAUAGGAGGGGUUGCGCCCCAACAAUAGGACUUUGGGGCGUGGCACCCCCACAGUAACCAAGACAGCGUCCUGUGAUAAGACAUAAGUCAAGAGGAUGCUGAUGACUCCCUCAAGCUUGGAAUAGUGCGAGACAGCUUCCCCCACCUCAGCAUUAAGGAAUUACCCAGGAAUUAGUUCAUCGUGAAGAAGCAGCGUUAUGAGUAUUACUGAAGUAAAUUCAACUUAAGCCCCAGAGAGUGCCAUAGACUAACCAGACAACUCUCAUGUUUGUAUUGCAGUCAUGACACAACAGUGAGAAAUACCAUUCUUUGGUUAAUAAAUGAUCACACUUAAUAUGUAUCAUCACUGAAUCAAAACUAGCAAUAAACACAACCACCAUGCUACGUUUCUCAAAAUACUACUGAUGGAGAUCAAAAUAAUGUACAGUAAAACUCCAAUAGUCCGGCAUCCAAUAGUCCGGCACUCCUGAUAGUCCGG